ACUGCCCCUAGAAGCAUUGCAGGUGUGGCUGCUGUGUCCCAUGGGCAUUUGUAGGUAGCAGAGAGGAGAGAGGCUGUGUCUACACUCAGUGUUCUGACCUAUGAACAUCUGAGUGAUUAGGAGUCUAACAUU